rnacentral:rRNA from 1 species
UGGGGAAUAUUGCACAAUGGGCGCAAGCCUGAUGCAGCCAUGCCGCGUGUGUGAAGAAGGCCUUCGGGUUGUAAAGCACUUUCAGCGAGGAGGAAGGGUUCAGUGUUAAUAGCACUGUUCAUUGACGUUACUCGCAGAAGAAGCACCGGCUAACUCCGUGCCAGCAGCCGCGGUAAUACGGAGGGUGCAAGCGUUAAUCGGAAUUACUGGGCGUAAAGCGCACGCAGGCGGUUUGUUAAGUCAGAUGUGAAAUCCCCGCGCUUAACGUGGGAACUGCAUUUGAAACUGGCAAGCUAGAGUCUUGUAGAGGGGGGUAGAAUUCCAGGUGUAGCGGUGAAAUGCGUAGAGAUCUGGAGGAAUACCGGUGGCGAAGGCGGCCCCCUGGACAAAGACUGACGCUCAGGUGCGAAAGCGUGGGGAGCAAAACAGGAUUAGAUACCCUGGUAGUCCACGCUGUAAACGAUGUCGACUUGGAGGUUGUGCCCUUGAGGCGUGGCUUCCGGAGCUAACGCGUUAAGUCGNCCGCCUGGGGGAGUACGGCCGCAA